CCUGAGAAACCCGAAAGAUCGAAUGGGGAGAUUCAUCGUCAGCGAUUCUGGUACGUGUGCGGUUCGCGAUGUCGGAGACUUCGGUCUCACGGCACGCGUCCGCAUGUUUUUUAUUGCCGGAGUCGUCGGCGUGCACUUCUCCCCUAGUAGGACGUCGCGACCCGUUGGGUGUCGGUCUACGGCACGGUAGGGCAGCCUGUCUCGUGUGGCGCUUCACGGCGUUCACCGCGGGGCAGACCUCCGUCCGCCCGACCGACUGCUCGGCGGUACUCGCAUGAUAUCUAGCCGCAGACAUUCGAACUGCGUCCGGCCCGUAGCAAGCGAGGCAAGUGUUCCCGGCUGUACGGAUCUAAUGCCGUCACCGGGCCUUGCCAGCUGUUGGCUGACGGUGUCCUGGGACAGGCUAACAAAAUUAUGAUAUCGGUCAGCGACGCUACUGCUUUGGGUACUUUCAGGA
rnacentral:rRNA from 1 species